AUUGAACGCUGGCGGCAGGCCUAACACAUGCAAGUCGAACGAGUGGCGGACGGGUGAGUAAUGUCUGGGAAACUGCCCGAUGGAGGGGGAUAACUACUGGAAACGGUAGCUAAUACCGCAUACCAUCGGAUGUGCCCAGAUGGGAUUAGCUAGUAGGUGGGGUAACGGCUCACCUAGGCGACGAUCCCUAGCAGGUCUGAGAGGAUGACCAGCCACACUGGGACUGAGACACGGUCCAGACUCCUACGGGAGGCAGCAGUAGGGAAUAUUGCACAAUGGACGAAAGCCUGAUGGAGCCAUGCCGCGUGUAUGAAGAAGGCCUUCGGGUUGUAAAGUACUGUCAGCGGAGAGGCGUUACUCACAGAGGAAGCACCGGCUAACUACGUGCCAGCAGCCGCGGUAAUUC
rnacentral:rRNA from 1 species